CUGGAAGGCUCAUGAGGAGCAGAGGGAGUUGGAGGCUGGUUCACCAGAGAAUGUAAACUCCAACUGAUAGAUUCCACCUGCCUGCACAGAUUGUGUCCUCAACACUUACUAUGGGACCCAGCACUGCAGAGAUAUUCAACAGAGAUUUACGGAAUGUGUGAAACCAAGAAACCUCCCCUUCUUUGAGACAGAGAGAUGCCCAACACUGAGCUCAUACUGGCUUUCCUGAAAGGGCAGCUCCUUGUGUCAUGUCCAGAGAACAAAAUUGCCUGUGACAUGUAAUUUAGAACCUGAGAUGCCUGGAUAUAAAGUCUUACUCAAAUCUGGAAGAACCAACAAUCUUCUUAUGACACUCUCAAGCCUACAGCAUGUGGAUCCGUUGGGGCUAUAGUCAUCUUCAGACCACUGUAUUACAGUUCACUGUGUACUUGAAGCAGUAGGAAAAACUCUGGCUUCAGAUGGAAUCUCCAAUCUGCUAAUUACUCACUGUGUGACCUUGAACAAGUGGUUCAACCUCUGUGAGACUCAGUUUCCUCAUCCAUAAAAUGGACAUAAUAAACCUACCAUUUGUUAUUUUUGUUGGGACCUAGAGGAAAUAAAUGGUCUUUCCUUCUUAGACACUGAGUUCUCCAGGACAGAGGACUUUUAAAAAUCAUUUUAUUCAUCAUUUAUUGAGUACCUCCAUUUACUGAGAUCCCUACAAGAUCUCCAAAAGACAAAUAUUAAGGUACUAUCUUUAGUUUAGAGGUGCUUACUCUUCUGUAAUAAAGCACUAUAACUUAA